rnacentral:tRNA from 1 species
GGGGUUGUGGCUCAACAGCAGAGCACUCGCCUAGCAUGUGGGAGGCCCUGGGUUCGAUCCUCAGCACCA